AAUCAACGCUGGCGGCGUGCCUCAGACAUGCAAGUCGAACGCGAAAGCCCCCUUCGGGGGGCAAGUAGAGUGGCGCACGGGUGAGUAACACGUAGGUAAUCUACCUUUGGAUGGGGAAUAACCACCGGAAACGGUGGCUAAUACCGCAUAAUGCAGCGGCACCUAAUGGUGACAGUUGUUAAAGCGGGGGAUCGUAAGACCUCGCGUCUGAAGAGGAGCCUGCGGCGGAUUAGCUUGUUGGUAAGGUAACGGCUUACCAAGGCGAUGAUCCGUAGCCGGCCUGAGAGGGCGGUCGGCCACACUGACACUGACAUACGGGUCAGACUCCUACGGGAGGCAGCAGUCGGGAAUUUUGGGCAAUGGGCGAAAGCCUGACCCAGCAACGCCGCGUGAAGGAUGAAAUCCUUCGGGAUGUAAACUUCGCAAGAACGGGAAGAAUAAGUGGAAGUUAAUAUCUUCCAUGAUGACGGUACUGUUUGUAAGCUCCGGCUAACUCCGUGCCAGCCGCCGCCGUAAAAC
rnacentral:rRNA from 1 species